GAUGAACGCUGGCGGCGUGCCUAAUACAUGCAAGUCGAGCGAACAGACGAGAAGCUUGCUCCUCUGACGUUAGCGGCGGACGGGUGAGUAACACGUGGAUAACCUACCUAUAAGACUGGGAUAACUUCGGGAAACCGGAGCUAAUACCGGAUAAUAUAUUGAACCGCAUGGUUCAAUAGUGAAAGACGGUUUUGCUGUCACUUAUAGAUGGAUCCGCGCCGCAUUAACUAGUUGGUUAGGUAACGGCUUACCAAGGCAACGAUGCGUAGCCGACCUGAGAGGGUGAUCGGCCACACUGGAACUGAGACACGGUCCAGACUCCUACGGGAGGCAGCAGUAGGGAAUCUUCCGCAAUGGGCGAAAGCCUGACGGAGCAACGCCGCGUGAGUGAUGAAGGUCUUCGGAUCGUAAAACUCUGUUAUUAGGGAAGAACAAAUGUGUAAGUAACUAUGCACGUCUUGACGGUACCUAAUCAGAAAGCCACGGCUAACUACGUG
rnacentral:rRNA from 1 species